rnacentral:rRNA from 1 species
GAUGAAGGCUUUCGGGUUGUAAAGCACUUUUGUCAGGGAAGAAACGGUCCGGGCUAAUACCUCGGACUUCUGACGGUACCUGAAGAAUAAGCACCGGCUAACUACGUGCCAGCAGCCGCGGUAAUACGUAGGGUGCAAGCGUUAAUCGGAAUUACUGGGCGUAAAGCGUGCGCAGGCGGUUUACUAAGACAGGUGUGAAAUCCCCGGGCUUAACCUGGGAACUGCAUCUGUGACUAGUAGACUAGAGUUUGGCAGAGGGGGGUGGAAUUCCUGGUGUAGCAGUGAAAUGCGUAGAUAUCAGGAGGAACACCGAUGGCGAAGGCAGCCCCCUGGGCCACCACUGACGCUCAUGCACGAAAGCGUGGGGAGCAAACAGGAUUAGAUACCCUGGUAGUCCACGCCCUAAACGAUGUCAACUAGUUGUUGGAUCUUUUCUGAUUUGGUAACGAAGCUAACGCGUGAAGUUGACCGCCUGGGGAGUACGGCCGCAAGGUUAAAACUCAAAGGAAUUGACGGAAUCUC